rnacentral:rRNA from 1 species
UGGGGAAUAUUGCACAAUGGGGAAACCCGUCGAUGCAGCAACGCCGCGUGAGUGAUGACGGUCUUCGGAUUGUAAAGCUCUGUCUUCAGGGACGAUAAUGACGGUACCUGAGGAGGAAGCCACGGCUAACUACGUGCCAGCAGCCGCGGUAAUACGUAGGUGGCAAGCGUUGUCCGGAUUUACUGGGCGUAAAGGGAGCGUAGGCGGACUUUUAAGUGGGAUGUGAAAUACCCGGGCUUAACCUGGGUGCUGCAUUCCAAACUGGAAGUCUAGAGUACAGGAGGGGAAAGCGGAAUUCCUAGUGUAGCGGUGAAAUGCGUAGAGAUUAGGAAGAACACCAGUGGCGAAGGCGGCUUUCUGGACUGUAACUGACGCUGAGGCUCGAAAGCGUGGGGAACGAACAGGAUUAGAUACCCUGGUAGU